rnacentral:rRNA from 1 species
AGCAGCCGCGGUAAUUCCAGCUCCAAUGGCGUAUAUUAAAGUUGUUGCAGUUAAAAAGCUCGUAGUUGAAUUUCGGGGUUAGUAGGUCGGUCAUGCCUCUGGUAUGUACUGGUCUCACUGAUUCCUCCUUCCUGAUGAGCCGUAAUGCCAUUAAUUUGGUGUUGCGGGGAAUUUGGACUGUUACUUUGAAAAAAUUAGAGUGUUUAAAGCAGGCUCACGCUUGAAUACAUUAGCAUGGAAUAAUGAAAUAGGACGUUUGAUUCUAUUUUGUUGGUUUCUAGGAUCGACGUAAUGAUUAAUAGGGAUAGUUGGGGGCAUUAGUAUUCAAUUGUCAGAGGUGAAAUUCUUGGAUUUAUUGAAGACUAACUACUGCGAAAGCAUUUGCCAAGGUAUGUUUUCAUUAAUCAAGUAACGAAAGUUAGGGGAUCGAAGACGGUCAGAUACCGUCGUAGUCUUAACCAUAAACUAUGCCGACUAGGGAUCGGAUGAUGUUAAUUUUUAAUGACUCAUUCGGCGCCUU